rnacentral:rRNA from 1 species
AACAGGAUUAGAUACCCUGGUAGUCCACGCCGUAAACGAUGAUAACUAGCUGUCCGGGGACUUGGUCUUUGGGUGGCGCAGCUAACGCAUUAAGUUAUCCGCCUGGGGAGUACGGCCGCAAGGUUAAAACUCAAAUGUAUUGACGGGGGCCUGCACAAGCGGUGGAGCAUGUGGUUUAAUUCGAAGCAACGCGCAGAACCUUACCAGCGUUUGACAUGUCCGGACGAUUUCCAGAGAUGGAUCUCUUCCCUUCGGGGACUGGAACACAGGUGCUGCAUGGCUGUCGUCGGCUCGUGUCGUGAGAUGUUGGGUUAAGUCCCGCAACGAGCGCAACCCUCGCCUUUAGUUACCAUCAUUUAGUUGGGGACUCUAAAGGAACCGCCGGUGAUAAGCCGGAGGAAGGUGGGGAUGACGUCAAGUCCUCAUGGCCCUUACGCGCUGGGCUACACACGUGCUACAAUGGCGGUGACAGUGGGCAGCAAACUCGCGAGAGUGCGCUAAUCUCCAAAAGCCGUCUCAGUUCGGAUUGUUCUCUGCAACUCGAGAGCAUGAAGGCGGAAUCGCUAGUAAUCGCGGAUCAGCAUGCCGCGGUGAAUACGUUCCCAGGCCUUGUACACACCGCCCGUCACACCAUGGGAGUUGGGUUCACCCGAAGGCGUUGCGCUAACUCGCAAGAGAGGCAGGCGACCACGGUGGGCUUAGCGACUGGGGUGAAGUCGUAACAAGGUAACC